rnacentral:rRNA from 1 species
UCUAACGAUUGAUCUAGUUACUUAGAAAAAUGAGAAACCAAAUAAAAAUAAAAAGGAAUUUGAGAAAAAUAAAAUUUAAAUUGUAUGAAAAAUAAUGAUUGAAUACAAUAGAGUCUUAACAAAAAUUAGUGCCAGCAGUUGCGGUUAAACUAAGAAGACAAACGUUAAUCAUUAUGGCUUAAAGGAUCCGUAGAACAAUUAAUAAAUAAAAUUAAUUAGAGUUUAAAAAUGUUAAAAGAAGUGUUAUGGUAGAGAUUAAAUAUAAUAAUCAUAAAAAGACUACUAAUGUGAAGAUAUUUAACUUGAAUAAACUGACGUUGAGAGGAUGAAGGCGUAAGCGAUAAAAUGGAUUAGAUACCCAUUUAAUUUAUGCAGUAAACUAUGAAUACUAAUUGAUUAUUUAAAUAAGAUAUAUUAUCUUUUUUAUUAAUUUAUAAAGUGAAAACGUAAGUAUUCCGCCAGGUGAG